rnacentral:rRNA from 1 species
GUUAAGCGACUAAGCGUACACGGUGGAUGCCCUGGCAGUCAGAGGCGAUGAAGGACGUGCUAAUCUGCGAUAAGCGUCGGUAAGGUGAUAUGAACCGUUAUAACCGGCGAUUUCCGAAUGGGGAAACCCAGUGUGAUUCGUCACACUAUCAUUAACUGAAUCCAUAGGUUAAUGAGGCGAACCGGGGGAACUGAAACAUCUAAGUACCCCGAGGAAAAGAAAUCAACCGAGAUUCCCCCAGUAGCGGCGAGCGAACGGGGAGGAGCCCAGAGCCUGAAUCAGUGUGUGUGUUAGUGGAAGCGUCUGGAAAGGCGCGCGAUACAGGGUGACAGCCCCGUACACAAAAAUGCACAUGCUGUGAGCUCGAUGAGUAGGGCGGGACACGUGGUAUCCUGUCUGAAUAUGGGGGGACCAUCCUCCAAGGCUAAAUACUCCUGACUGACCGAUAGUGAACCAGUACCGUGAGGGAAAGGCGAAAAGAACCCCGGCGAGGGGAGUGAAAAAGAACCUGAAACCGUGU